UCCUACGGGAGGCAGCAGAGGGGAAUUUUGGACAAUGGGCGCAAGCCUGAUCCAGCAAUGCCGCGUGAGUGAAGAAGGCCUUCGGGUUGUAGAGCUCUUUUGUCAGGGAAGAAACGGUGAGUCCUAAUAUGGCUUGCUAAUGACGGUACCUGAAGAAUAAGCACCGGCUAACUACGUGCCAGCAGACGCGGUAAUACGUAGGGUGCAAGCGUUAAUCGGAAUUACUGGGCGUAAAGCGUGCGCAGGCGGUUAUAUAAGUCAGAUGUGAAAUCCCCGGGCUCAACCUGGGAACUGCAUUUGAGACUGUAUGGCUAGAGUGUGUCAGAGGGGGGUAGAACUCCACGUGUAGCAGUGAAGUGCGUAGAUAUGUGGAGGAAUACCGAUGGCGAAGGCAGCCCCCUGGGAUAACACUGACGCUCAUGCACGAAAGCGUGGGGAGCAAACAGGAUUAGAUACCCUGGUAGUCCACGCCCUAAACGAUGUCUACUAGUUGUCGGGACUUAAUUGUCUUGGUAACGCAGCUAACGCGUGAAGUAGACCGCCUGGGGAGUACGGUCGCAAGAUUAAAACUCAAAUGAAUUGACGGA
rnacentral:rRNA from 1 species